GGCAAAUGAAGAGGUCCAAACUAUACCACUCUGAAGAGUCUUUCUUCCUGAGCCACCCAUAGCUACCUGGAAGCAGAGAUUCCCAAAGGAACUCAGUGCUCACAGAUCCCCUCUCCAGGAAUUUUGCAACCACAGAAGAUUAACUCCUGUCACUGAAGUUAAGAAUUUGACACUGGGAUAAGAAAUCACCUAAACAGACAUUGUCACAAACUAUCAGACCUCCCAUCUAUAUUCCCAAGGGUCCAUUUAUCUUCCCUAAAAGUCAAGUUGACUUGCAGUAAGUGCCCUUUUCUCCUGUCCUUCCCCUAAUAUGGUGUUACAGGAGCCCCAAAUUCUGUUUCCCUGAGUCACGUUUCUCUGUGAGCUAAGUGAACAGGGAGUGAAAUCUCUUUCCCGCUCCACUUGGCUCCGAGGCUCCCAGCACUUUGUACUUCAUCUCCCAAGGCCUCAGAAGAAUCCACUCCGAUGCAAUAACAGGGUUUUAUUUUUAUUGCCCCUCUUGGGCGAGGUUUGAACAACCACUUAUCCUGACAUUUCAUUAGGCUCUUUAGAAUGGUUUAGAUUCUUUACAUAGUCAUGAUCUUUGCAGGGGCCAUUUAAAGUUGUUCUAAGAGCUUAGCAACUUUAACCAAAACAAUAUAAUGCAGCCUGUGGGUGUGUGGGGGGGUGAGAAAGGGGGAACAGGAUAAGGAUACCACAAGGGUGCCACAUGGGCCCUUCUAUAGGACAAAUAGCUGACUCAGGGUGCUCAAAUAAAUAGAACUGUUGGGGAGGAGGUGAGGAAAGAAGGGAGGAAGAGGGGAACUGUUAGAUAGAGGGGGCAAGCCACAUG
rnacentral:lncRNA from 1 species